rnacentral:lncRNA from 1 species
GGUGUGGGGGCCGCCGAGGUGAAUCCACCCCGCUCAGGAGGGGAAACGCUGCCCCGGCCCCCUGGCUCACCCUCUCCGCCUGUGGCUUUCCGCUCUGUGUGCCCCGCAGGUGGGAGAGCCCAUGGGAGACUUCCACCCGGGCGGCUACUACCCGCCGCCGCCGCCGCCACCGCCACCACCGCCGCCGCCGCCUCCACCCCCGCCCCCGCCGCCGCCGCCGCCGCUGCAGCCUCAGUUCCUGCCGCCCGGCUUCCUCUCCGCGCUGCACUUCCUCCCGCCGCCGCCGCCGCCACCGCCCCCAUCGUCCUUCUCGCUGAGCCUCCUGUCGGACGCGGACAAUGAGAACACGGAUGACCAGGAUGCGGAGCAGCCAUGCCCGCCCCGUCAGCCGUCACCCCAGGAGCAGUCUGACUAGGCCCAGGCCUCCAGCCCGCAGCCUGGAGCCUUGGGGGGCUACAGCAGUGCUGUUCUCGACUGUUCAGUGCUGGGCAGGGCGGGAGGCUAGUGGUAGGCGUAAGAUAGCAGUUCAUUCCCAUUUCAAGAAUAGGAGGAGAGGCGGGUGAUCGCGGAGGUUCUUAGUCCGGAGCCGGAGGUGGGUGGCGUGGAAGAGGAGCAGGGCAGGUGAAGUCACCAGGACAGGGACGGGGCUCUGAGGAGGGUACGGGGCCGGUGGAAGCUCACAUUUCGGAAUGAAUUGAACCAUCUCUGGGUUGUGCGCCUGUGAGCAGACUCACCCCCAGAGGCAGCCUUUGAUUUCCUCAGGUCCGGCUCCAGAACAGGAGGCUCUGUCUGCUCCAGCCUCCUGCUGCCGCUGCCUCUGCCUGGUCCCCAGCUGGGGGCAGCACAGACGCCAGGCCUUCAGCACAUCCAGGUGGAUGGUGCGAGCCGCCAGGACCAGGGCUCUGCAGCGGCCUUCCUUGCUGCCCCGUCCCCUGCCCCUCACCCCUUCUCCAGGGGCCGUAGCAGUAAGCGUUCUGCCUGCCGGGGCAGCAUCACCUCUCCUCCAUAAAGUUUAAGCCAUUAGAGGCAUCAUUUCUAGUUUUUAAAAAAAAUCUAUUAAAGUUUGACUAUUUGGUGGU